rnacentral:rRNA from 1 species
CCCUUAGAUAUUCUGGGCCGCACGCGCGCUACACUGAUGAAUUCAACGAGCACUAACCUGUGCCGAAAGGUUCGGGUAAUCUUGUGAAAUUUCAUCGUGAUGGGGAUUGAUUAUUGCAAUUUUUAAUCAUAAACGAGGAAUGCCUAGUAAGCGUGAGUCAUCAGCUCACGUUGAUUACGUCCCUGCCCUUUGUACACACCGCCCGUCGCUCCUACCGAUUGAAUGUGCCAGUGAAAAGUUCGGAUUGGAGAUAGGAAACGGCAACGUAUCCUAUUUCCGAGAAAAUCUUUAAACUUUCCCAUUUAGAGGAAGGAGAAGUCGUAACA